rnacentral:rRNA from 1 species
UACGGAGGGUGCAAGCGUUGUCCGGAUUUAUUGGGUUUAAAGGGUGCGUAGGCGGUCUUUUAAGUCAGUGGUGAAAGCCUCCAGCUUAACUGGAGAACUGCCAUUGAUACUGGAAGACUUGAGUCAGACGAGGUAGGCGGAAUUACAGUGUAGCGGUGAAAUGCAUAGAUAUUGUCAAGAACACCGAUUGCGAAGGCAGCUUACUAGACUGUAACUGACGCUGAGGCACGAAAGUGUGGGGAUCAAACAGG